AUUCACAGCACAUAUACUAACUAAAAUAAGAAUUUACAGAGAAUAUUAGUAUGUCCCCUGUGUUAGGAUGACACAAAAAUUUGUAGUGUUCUGUAUUUUU
rnacentral:snRNA from 1 species